rnacentral:rRNA from 1 species
AGUCGAACGAACUAGCAAAUAGUUAGUGGCGAGCGGCGGAGUAAUACAUAAGUAACGUGCCCUAAAGACCGGGACAAACGCAGAAAUGUUAUGAAUACCGGAUAUGGCCGAGUCUUGGCAUCAAGAUUCGAUUAAAUGGUUUUUCGCUUUAGGAGCGGCUUAUGACACAUCAGGUAGUUGGUGGGGUAAUGGCCUACCAAGCCGACGACGUGUAGGGGGUCUGAGAGGAUGAUCCCCCCGAGUGGGACUGAGACACGGCCCACACACCCACGGGUGGCAGCAGUUGGGAAUCUUGCACAAUGGGGGAAACCCUGAUGCAGCGACGCCGCGUGGAGGAUGACGGAUCUAGGUCUGUAAACUCCUUUUUCAGGGAAAGACUUAGGACGGUACCCUGAGAAUAAGCUCCGGCUAACUACGUGCCAGCAGCCGCGGUAAGACGUAGGGAGCAAGCGUUGUCCGGAUUUACUGGGCGUAAAGGGCGCGUAGGCGGUCUGUUAAGUGAGUACUAAAAUCUCCAGGGCUCAACCCGGAAACCGGUUCUCAUACUGACAGACUUGAGGAGGGCAGAGGUAACUGGAAUUCCUGGUGUAGCGGUGAAAUGCGUUGAUAUCAGGAGGAACUCCAAUGGCGAAGGCAGGUUACUGGGCCUUAUCUGACGCUGAGGCGCGAAAGCGUGGGUAGCAAACAGGAUUAGAUACCC